UACGGAGGGGGCUAGCGUUGUUCGGAAUUACUGGGCGUAAAGCGCGCGUAGGCGGACCUGCAAGUCGGGGGUGAAAUCCCGAGGCUCAACCUCGGAACUGCCUUCGAUACUGGCGAUCCUUCGAGUCCGGGAGAGGUGAGUGGAACUCCGGAGUGUAGAGGUGAAAUUCGUAGAUAUUCGGAAGAACACCAGUGGCGAAGGCGGCUCACUGGCCCGGUACUGACGCUGAGAUACGAAAGCGUGGGGAGCAAACAGG
rnacentral:rRNA from 1 species